GUGAGUCAUCGAAUCUUUGAACGCACCUUGCGCUCCUUGGUAUUCCUCGGAGCAUGCCUGUUUGAGUAUCAUGGAAUUCUCAACUCCCUAAGUUUCUUACCGGAAGCUGUGGUGAGCUUGGACUUGGAGGUCGUGUCGGUCUGCUUCAGUCAGUCGACUCCUCUGAAAUGCAUUAGCGUGAGUCUUACGAAUCACCUUCAACGUGAUAAUUGUCUGCGUUGGGGUCGAUCAGUACUUGUGUGCUCAUGCUUACAGUCGUCUCUCACCAGAGACACUUUCUUGACUUCUGAUCUCAAAUCAGGUAGGACUACCCGCUGAACUUAAGCAUAUCAAUAAGCGGAGGA
rnacentral:misc_RNA from 1 species